UGUCACCAUGAAAGGCCCUCUGAUGUGCUGCAUUUGAAGAUGGCAGUGGCAGCAGCUGUUCCUGUAAGGUUUCCAGUUUGCAGGAUGUUCUUCUCAAACAGAAAUUGUCUCCAAGCUCAGAUUUCUGCUGAUUACUCCAGUUGCAGCCCAAACCAAAUGGUGGACAUAACAACCAAAUGGAAAACAUUGUAAAGUGAUCAUAGAAAGAAAGAAAAAAAAAAACACCACGUACACCCACUUGACCCACCUUAAAACAAAAACAAAAGAAAAAAAUGAAAUAAAAUCUAACUACCCUGUGUGGAAAAACAAGUCUGUCAUUUGCCAGCAAAUAGCUUACAAAUCCUGGGAUUUCCAUGGCUUGAAUCUGCAAUAGGACUCUGGCUAUUAGUUCGGUGUCAUCAUUUAUCACCUGCAUUACCCCACUGAACACCUUGGUGGCUGCCACCAGUUCCUCUGAAUGAAGAGGAC